CCUAGAGGCUCAGAUGGUAAAGAAUCUGCCUGCAAUGCAGAAGACCUGGGUUCAAUCCCUGCAUCAGGA
rnacentral:tRNA from 1 species